UUGAGUUUGAUCCUGGCUCAGGAUGAACGCUAGCGGCAGGCCUAACACAUGCAAGUCGAACGGUAACAGCAGAGCUUGCUCUGGCUGACGAGUGGCGCACGGGUGCGUAACGCGUAUACAAUCUGCCUAUUACUGGGGUAUAGCCCGAAGAAAUUUGGAUUAACCCCCCAUAGUAUUGAGAUAAGGCAUCUUAUUUCAAUUAAAACCACGGUGGUAAUAGAUGAGUAUGCGUCCUAUUAGUUUGUUGGUAAGGUAACGGCUUACCAAGACUUCGAUAGGUAGGGGUCCUGAGAGGGAGAUCCCCCACACUGGUACUGAGACACGGACCAGACUCCUACGGGAGGCAGCAGUGAGGAAUAUUGGACAAUGGAGGCAACUCUGAUCCAGCCAUGCCGCGUGCAGGAAGACUGCCCUAUGGGUUGUAAACUGCUUUUAUAGAGGAAGAAACCUCCCUUCGUGAAGGGAAUGACGGUACUCUACGAAU
rnacentral:rRNA from 1 species